GUGCUCAUCUUAGGAUAAGACUGUCAGAUAAAAUACUAGACACUCUAUGAAACUUGAAUUUCAUAUAAAUAGCAAGUAAUUUUUUAGUAUAAUUAUGUCCCAAAUACUGCAUGGGACAUACUCAUACUAAAAAAAAUUGUCUAUAUGAAAGUGAAAUUUAAAUAGACAUCCUGUAUUUUUUUCUUCCUUUUUCUAGCAACCCAGUGAUUCCAUGGAAAGCAGAAAGAAGGACAUAAAGAAACGGAUACUUGGUGACAUCUUUGACUCACUGGAUCAAACCUUGCCUGAAGCUCACAUUUCUGAAAUUUCCAGAUACAAGAACAAAUACUUCCUCUUUAUUGUUUUACUAGAUUUGAGACAAGCUUUAAGUUUCUCAGACUCUUCCUCUUCCUAACAGAUUUAUCAGAAGCUGAAAGCUCUGAUCUUGUUGGGAUGCGGAUCGUGUCAGGAGAAGGCUUACUUUGCACGCUUUUCUUAGUCUGGUUGCCUAACUCAAGAACCUCGGCAUGGCUCUGUUACUUCUCUACUCAGACAAGCAUCCCUGCAGACACUCACUAGGCUAACUCUGUCUUUAUUUUUAGAAUUAGACCUUUACGAGAAGCACAGUUUUGUCUUCAGUUUCCUCUCCCCCCACCCGGAAUGGCCUGAGCCGAAGCCAGCUCCCUCCGAGAAGUCAUUACCGCCUGACUUGCGUUUGAUAUUUAGACACCUUGGUCACAACAUCUUGCAUUCUCUCGGGAUGCUGAUUUCUAACUGCUCUUUGGCCUUUCCUGCAUUGGUCCUCCUCAGGCAGGGGAUCCCUGCUCUUCUAUAUUAGUGAGAAAACCAAG
rnacentral:lncRNA from 1 species